rnacentral:tRNA from 1 species
GCCUUCGUGGUGUAGUGGUCAAUACACUCGACCCGUAACCCAGAGGUCCGUGGUUCGAUUCCCGGCGAAGGUG